CAGUAGCCGCGGUAAUACGAAGGUCCCGAGCGUUGUUCGGAAUCACUGGGCGUAAAGGGAGCGUAGGCGGCGUGGUAAGUCAGAUGUGAAAUCCCGGGGCUCAACCCCGGAACUGCAUCCGAUACUGCCGUGCUAGAGGAUUGGAGAGGUAGCUGGAAUUCCCGGUGUAGCGGUGAAAUGCGUAGAGAUCGGGAGGAACAUCAGUGGCGAAGGCGGCCAUCUGGGACAACACUGACGCUGAGGCACGAAAGCGUGGGGAGCAAACAGGAUUAGAGACCCCCGUAGUCCCUGUCUCUUAUAC
rnacentral:rRNA from 1 species